rnacentral:tRNA from 1 species
GGGGAUGUGGCGGAAUUGGUAUACGCAACAGACUUAAAAUCUGUCGGUCAAAGACCUUGUGGGUUCGAGUCCCACCGUCCCUACCA